AUCGGACUAUUGGCAACGGAUAUAUCGGGUGUUCAAUCGAUGAAGAGUUCAGCAAAUUGCGCAAUUCACACCGAAUAGCAGAAUCCCGUGAACUAUUGAGUGAUGGAAGACAAGAGAUGUCCGAAGCCAAUAGUCGGAGGGCAUUCCAAGA
rnacentral:rRNA from 1 species